rnacentral:lncRNA from 1 species
GGCCUCGGAGCUAAGUAUCUCCUUGAACAGUUGAUUUAUUUUUAGUUCUGUGAAAGGAGGCUGGAGAGACAGAACUUAAAUAUUCAAGGAGUUUUCUACAUUUUUAAAAAAGAGAAAACCUCCGGAUUGCACCCUCUGAAAGAAAUGUCAAGAUGCAUCGUGUUUUCCACCAAGGCAGGAUUUUUCUUCUAAUCAGUUGGAACCCCCCGCCCCCAAAUUCAGAAUUAAGAGUCUUCCCUUAGAGGAAGCCUCAGGCUCUCCCAUUGCCGUGGUUAAAUUAUGCAGAGAAGGUCACUGGGUCCCGAGGCUGCUGCCCGGCGUGUCUUCCCGGUGGACAGGGCGCCCUGCCACUCUUCAUUAGGCCGUGAGCCCGCGGCGCACCACCUCGGGUCAGGAUGUUGGUGUGUGUACACCACGCAGUCAUUUAUCAAUGGAGAGUACCUGGGAGUCACCUUAGAAGGUGUGUGGAGCAGAUGGCUAAUUUAAAGUCAGUCUGUAAAUGCGCUCGGCCUUCCAAAAUACCCCUUUCUUGAACCUUCUAGUGUGAAAUCCAGCA